UUUGACGUUAGCUGCAGAAGAAGCACCGGCUAACUCCGUGCCCAGCAGCCGCGGUAAUACGGAGGGUGCGAGCGUUAAAUCGGAAUUACUGGGCGUAAAGCGCAUGCAGGUGGUUGUUAAGUCAGAUGUGAAAGCCCGGGGCUCAACCUCGGAAUUGCAUUUGAAACUGGCAGACUAGAGUACUGUAGAGGGGGUAGAAUUUCAGGUGUAGCGGUGAAAUGCGUAGAGAUCUGAAGGAAUACCGGUGGCGAAGGCGGCCCCCUGGACAGAUACUGACACUCAGAUGCCGAAAGCGUGGGGAGCUAAACCAGGAUUAGACACCCCUCGGUAG
rnacentral:rRNA from 1 species